rnacentral:tRNA from 1 species
AUUCAAUUAGUUUAAUUAAUAGAAUAUUGAUUUGUGAUAUCAAAGGUAUAUAUAAUAUAUUGGAUA